UUCUAUAAUUUCAUUUAUUUGAAUAAUAUCAUGCCUGACAGAGCACUGAAUAAUCGGUGGACCUGUGUCCUAUUGCAGUAUAUUCUCUCAUCCAUUUAUGCAUCGUCCAACUCCCUAUUUCGUGGUCUCUCAUAGUUUUAACUGCUUGUUCAAUCGUUUGCAGAAACCUGGGGUAUCAUAGCACUUCUCGAUGAAUCUCCUGUUUGUAUACUCACAUUUGUAUGAAUUGAAAAAAAUUGCUUGGCUGGAGACUCAUGUUCUUACAGCAUGUUUCCUAAAUCCUGGUGAUGAAUUUGGAUGAUCGUUCCUAGACAAAUACAAAGAUUAUGUAGUGGAAGAACAUCAGAUCUUUUGAUAGCUCCCUACCGCCCCUUUGCAGCUGGCCUAUUUCCUCCACUUCCAGAGGAAUCAUCGAAGUCAUCUAAAUUUUCUGCCAUUGGUCACGUUUGAAUGUAUGAGGUUGUUUACUUUCUUCUCAGUUUUCCUAGAUUGAAUGAAGUGAAAUUGCUGCUUCCUCGUACUUUUGGCUUCUCGUGUUUUUGCUUGUCCAAAACAACAUAGUAUGCAAACAGCUGCUGCUAUUGAAUCGGGGAUUGUCAUACGAGCUAAAGCAAAAACAAGACCGUUUAUAUCCGUGGCCAACCUUUCUUGCACAUCAACAUCUCCAGAAAAAAAACAUAAGAUGCAUGGGAUUUCAAAGUAUUCCACAGAAAUCUUAUUGGUUCCAUAAUAAGAAGCAA